UUAUUUUAUUUUCAGUGUUUUAUAUUUAUUUUGCUCUUGGUAUGUGGUAGAUAUGUGGUGCAGAUCGGAGACAAAGUCAUUGACUAUAACGAGGAUUUCUGUCUGCUUCUGGCGUAACCAGGUGACGCUGGGAAAGAGUACAAUUAUGAAGAAGAUACCAGGAAUGAAUGAAACAGCAGGUGGCACCAGUAUAACAUCAGUCUCUCCGUGUGUCUGUAGGAAAGAGAUGCGUGCCUGCCGCUAGAGAUGGCCAGCAAGAUGUACUUCGUGAUCACGGAUCUGUCCAAGAUUAAUAACAUGUACAGAUUCAGUCUGGCCUCUGUCCUGCGACUCUUUCACAGAGCGCUGCAGACCGAACAGGACAGUGAGAGCACCGAUGUGAGGAUUUCCACGCUGGAGAGCCGUCUGAGGAACAUGGUGCGGAUCAGUUGAAGUCUGCGCUGCACUUUGUGAAGGGCAUGAAGCCAGAACUCUUCCAGGAGAACGAAUGGGAAGUGUUCACUGCCUGAUCGUUGGAGACAUGGUUCGUAAGACGGACUCCCAGAAGUCUCUGCGAGAACAGUUUCCAUCCUGGAUUGAUCAGGAGAGGCCGAUGGCCGUGGCUCUGCUCAAGGUAAUUAGGGCCUUUACGAAAAUUACAGAAUAAAAUGUGGAUUUGAUGAAUAAAUCCAGAGCUGCUCUGAGAGUCACUUCACCAGCAUUUCACCAUUUCAUUUGUUAAAAACUAUUGUCAUAUCAUAUACACACAGAAACUCAGGUCUUCCCAGCAACCUGUCAGAACACAAGUUGAGAUUAACUUGAAGAAAUUGUGACAGAAAUAUAUUACU